GGGGGCCCGCAAGCGGUGGAGCAUGUGGUUCAAUUCGACGCAACGCGAAAAACCUUACCUGGGCUCGAAAUGUAGUGGACUGAGGUGGAAACAUCUCUUUCUCGCAAGAGACUGCUAUAUAGGUGCUGCAUGGCUGUCCUCAGCUCGUGUCGUGAGAUGUUGGGUUAAGUCCCGCAACGAGCGCAACCCUUAUUACCUGUUGCUAACGCGUAAUGGCGAGGACUCGGGUGAAACUGCCUGGGAUAACCAGGAGGAAGGUGGGGAUGACGUCAAGUCCUCAUGGCCUUUAUGUCCAGGGCUACACACGUGCUACAAUGGUCGGUACAAACCGUCGCAAACCCGUGAGGGGGAGCUAAUCGGAAAAAGCCGGCCUCAGUUCGGAUUGGAGUCUGCAACCCGACUCCAUGAAGCUGGAAUCGCUAGUAAUCGCGGAUCAAAACGCCGCGGUGAAUACGUUCCCGGGCCUUGUACACACC
rnacentral:rRNA from 1 species